GUGCUCGCUUCGGCAUCACAUAUACUAAAAUUGGAAGGAUACAGAGAAGAUUAGCAUGGCCCCUGUGCAAGGAUGACAUGCAAAUUUGUGAAGCAUUUCGUAUUUUU
ensembl:snRNA U6 U6 spliceosomal RNA